UACGUAGGGGGCUAGCGUUGUUCGGAUUCAUUGGGCGUAAAGCGCGUGUAGGCGGCCCGAUAAGUCCGCUGUGAAAGUCCAGGGCUCAACCCUGGGAUGCCGGUGGAUACUGUCGGGCUCGAGUCCGGAAGAGGCGAGUGGAAUUCCUGGUGUAGCGGUGAAAUGCGCAGAUAUCAGGAGGAACACCAAUGGCGAAGGCAGCUCGCUGGGACGUGACUGACGCUGAGACGCGAAAGCGUGGGGAGCGAACAGG
rnacentral:rRNA from 1 species